CGGGGUGUAGCUCAGUUGGCUAGAGUGCCUGCUUUGGGAGCAGGAGGUCGUCGGUUCGAGCCCGACCACCCCGACCA
rnacentral:tRNA from 1 species